rnacentral:rRNA from 1 species
GAUGAACGCUGACAGAAUGCUUAACACAUGCAAGUCAACUUGAACUUCGGUUUGGGUGGCGGACGGGUGAGUAACGCGUAAAGAACUUGCCUCACAGAUAGGGACAACAUUUGGAAACGAAUGCUAAUACCUGAUAUUAUGAUUUUAGGGCAUCCUAGGAUUAUGAAAGCUAUAUGCGCUGUGAGAGAGCUUUGCGUCCCAUUAGCUAGUUGGAGAGGUAACGGCUCACCAAGGCGAUGAUGGGUAGCCGGCCUGAGAGGGUGAUCGGCCACAAGGGGACUGAGACAAGGCCCUUACUCCUACGGGAGGCAGCAGUGGGGAAUAUUGGAAAAUGGACCAAGAGUCUGAUCCAGCAAUUCUGUGUGCAAGAUGAAGUUUUUCGGAAUGUAAAGUGCUUUCAGUUGGGAAGAAAAAAAUGACGGUACCAACAGAAGAAGUGACGGCUAAAUACGUG